rnacentral:lncRNA from 10 species
CCCUGUUCUAGAACCCCUCAACUGCUGUUUCCCCUAGCAACUCCUGCGGUUAUCCCUGGAAUGUCUGGGCAGGGGCUGUAAAAUUGGAAUAGGUCCCCCCCCACUCCUUAAUGUGGUGGCAGAGACCCCUGAGGGGAAAUGCAGAGGGCCUUGGUUCUCGGCUGGGCUGUGGAGCUGGGCACUCAGGGAGUUUCACAUAGCCACGAAGCUGCUUUCUCAGGCUCCUCUGGCAGGGAGCGUCAGGAUGAGAAUCCAGACCUGACUGCCACCCAGCCCUCUCACUUCGCAGAUGCAAAAAUCCAGACUCAGAAAGGGAGGUAACUUCUCCAACAGGGCGGGGUCUGAAGCCCAGGGUCCCGACCCCACCAAGCUGGCCCUGCAGGAGCCUCCUGAGAGGUGUCUCGGGAGCAGACCCAGGGGAAGGGGGCACUGUGCACUCUUGCCGGGUAGGCAAAAGUCUGUCUGCUUCUUGGCAGCUGUGUGGCUUCAAAGCCCAGACAGCAGGGACUGAAGACUGAGCAAGCCACCCCUCUCCUGUCCCAGACCCACCUGAACCCACCAAAGCUGGGAAAGGAGGGGUAGUGGAGACUCCAGAAAAACAGGAAAAAUUUAAACUCAACCACUAAGUAAAGCAUCAUUAACUCCUGUUGUGCUGAGCCCACAAACAGCCCCAGCACUCACUGUUCUACUGUCUGUCGCUGUGCAUUUGACAACUCUAGGGACCUCAUCAUAUAAUCAUGCCUUCAAACUCAGGUCAAAAUUCC